UUUAAUUGAAGAGUUUGAUCAUGGCUCAGAUUGAACGCUGGCGGCAGGCCUAACACAUGCAAGUCGAACGGUAGCACAGAGAGCUUGCUCUUGGGUGACGAGUGGCGGACGGGUGAGUAAUGUCUGGGAAACUGCCCGAUGGAGGGGGAUAACUACUGGAAACGGUAGCUAAUACCGCAUAACGUCUACGGACCAAAGUGGGGGACCUUCGGGCCUCACACCAUCGGAUGUGCCCAGAUGGGAUUAGCUGGUAGGUG
rnacentral:rRNA from 1 species